AUGAACCGCUUUCGGGCGGGGAUUAGUGGCGAACGGGUGAGUAACACGUGGGCAAUCUGCCCUGCACUCUGGGACAAGCCCUGGAAACGGGGUCUAAUACCGGAUAUGACUGUCCAUCGCAUGGUGGAUGGUGUAAAGCUCCGGCGGUGCAGGAUGAGCCCGCGGCCUAUCAGCUUGUUGGUGAGGUAGUGGCUCACCAAGGCGACGACGGGUAGCCGGCCUGAGAGGGCGACCGGCCACACUGGGACUGAGACACGGCCCAGACUCAUACGGGAGGCAGCAGUGGGGAAUAUUGCACAAUGGGCGAAAGCCUGAUGCAGCGACGCCGCGUGAGGGAUGACGGCCUUCGGGUUGUAAACCUCUUUCAGCAGGGAAGAAGCGAAAGUGACGGUACCUGCAGAAGAAGCGCCGGCUAACUACGUGCCAGCAGCCGCGGUAAUACGUAGGGCGCAAGCGUUGUCCGGAAUUAUUGGGCGUAAAGAGCUCGUAGGCGGCUUGUCACGUCGGUUGUGAAAGCCCGGGGCUUAACCCCGGGUCUGCAGUCGAUACGGGCAGGCUAGAGUUCGGUAGGGGAGAUCGGAAUUCCUGGUGUAGCGGUGAAAUGCGCAGAUAUCAGGAGGAACACCGGUGGCGAAGGCGGAUCUCUGGGCCGAUACUGACGCUGAGGAGCGAAAGCGUGGGGAGCGAACAGGAUUAGAUACCCUGGUAGUCCACGCCGUAAACGGUGGGCACUAGGUGUGGGCAACAUUCCACGUUGUCCGUGCCGCAGCUAACGCAUUAAGUGCCCCGCCUGGGGAGUACGGCCGCAAGGCUAAAACUCAAAGGAAUUGACGGGGGCCCGCACAAGCGGCG
rnacentral:rRNA from 1 species